UAUUUGUUGGUAAUUUGGACUCUAAUAUCACAGAUGAGCAUCUGAGGCAGAUUUUUGGCCAAUAUGGACAGUUACUUCAUGUAAAAAUACCAGCAGGAAAACGAUGUGGAUUUGUUCAAUUUGCUGGACAUUACCAUUGUUACCUUCUCAUCACACACUUAAUUUAAACACCAAGAAAUCAGUAUGAAGGAUUUAUCAUGUUCUCUGCAUCUGCUAUAACAGAAGCUGUGCUGAGGAAGCUUUACGAAUGUUAAAUGGAACCCAGUUGGGGGGACAAAGCAUUAGACUCUCAUGGGGCCGUAGUCCUUCAAACAAACAGGUACAAAUAAUCUCAUUUUUCGAUUUUCGAUUUUUCCUAUUUUUAGAACAGGUUUAUUAGUUCUCACUAAUGGUGAUUGUAACCAUAGUCAUCUAUUCAAAUUUUCGAGCUCAGGUUGAUCAAAUCCAGUCCAAUGCUGGAUAUUAUGGAUAUGCCCCUGGAUAUGAAACCUAUGGAUAUGCUCAAGCAGCUCAGGAUCCAAAUUUGUACUACGGAGGUUACCAAGGAUAUGGAAACUACCCACCGCCCCCUCAACAACCACCUCAGGUAGAUAUGCCUAUAGAUUUGAUGGGAAAACCCUUUUUACCUGAAAAUCAUUAUUAACAUACUUUGCAUGGGAGGGAGGACUAGUUGAACACUGUACAUUUACAUUUAUGCAAUGCUGAUUAUUGACUAGUUUUCCCAUUUCUUGUUCUUUUUACUUCAUCUUUCAUCAUUAGGAUCAACAGUGGUUUGUUGACACUCCUUCAUAUCAGCUUCAUUGGUACAGAAAUAUGGGUUUGCUCUAUCUUGUGUAUGAGGAGCAAAAAUAGUGGGAUAUUGAUAUAUGUUUUUGUAUUUUGUACGAUGUUAUUGAAACUGGCGAGAAAGUGCCUCUAUCAGCAAGAAGUUAGCUUCUUCACCAUGUCAGAUGCGUAUGUAUGUAUGUGUAUCCAAACACUAGAGAGCAUUGUUCAUUGUCUUUUACUCGUGGCGUUUCUCUACAAAAGAAUCCUAUUAUUAUUAUUAAAAUCCUAUUGAUCUAGCAGUGCCAUAACUUGGGAUCAUAACACCAAACAUAGGAAAUAUAAACACAACAUGAGAUGGAGGCCAUGGAUUUGCAGUACAUUAUUAAAAUCCUUUUGAAAGUUGCACUACCUAGCAGACGUAGCCAAGAAAGAGGAUGAGGAUUUUAAUGUCUCUCUGUUACCCAAAUAUGGAUGCUCAUCCUUGUACAUUUUUUAUACUCAUUAAAUUGUUUGAACGGGCAGCUCCAAGUUUCAGUUUUGCCUAUAGUUAUUAUUUUUUUCACAAACGUGUAUGCAAUCUUCUCUUUGGUCUGAGCUGGCAGCAAGUGGAAUUUUUCUUUUCAAGGUCUUUUUGUCGUCUGCCAUCGUCGUCGCAAGAUUGGUUAGAACUUUGCUUGCUUAACAGUUUCUGAAUUGAGUUUUGUUGAUAUGAAACCAUGGUUUUGAUGAUAAACAUUUUUAUAUUGGCGUUUCCAAAAGUUUAUAUCAUGAUGUACUGCAUUGUUUCAAAAUCUGCUCUUCUUUUGUAUUAAACUAAUAUCAGCACCAGUCGGCUCCUCCUAUCCAACUCCCCUUUCAUUAGCAUUUCCCUCACCUACACUUAUUGUGUAUUUACAGCUUCAUACCAGACUUCUCAAGGAACACAGGGUGAGGAUGACCCUACUAAUACAACUGUGAGUAAUUUUAUUCACAAUAAUUUUGUAUGCUUUCUUUAUCUAAAUAAUUAAGUACUAAUUUAUUUCUUGAUUGCAGAUAUUUGUUGGUAAUUUGGACUCUAAUAUCACAGAUGAGCAUCUGAGGCAGAUUUUUGGCCAAUAUGGACAGUUACUUCAUGUAAAAAUACCAGCAGGAAAACGAUGUGGAUUUGUUCAAUUUGCUGACAGGUAACCUGGACAUUACCAUUGUUACCUUCUCAUCACACACUUAAUUUAAACACCAAGAAAUCAGUAUGAAGGAUUUAUCAUGUUCUCUGCAUCUGCUAUAACAGAAGCUGUGCUGAGGAAGCUUUACGAAUGUUAAAUGGAACCCAGUUGGGGGGACAAAGCAUUAGACUCUCA
rnacentral:lncRNA from 1 species